rnacentral:rRNA from 1 species
AUUGAACGCUGGCGGCAGGCCUAACACAUGCAAGUCGAACGAGUGGCGGACGGGUGAGUAAUGUCUGGGAAACUGCCUGCUGGAGGGGGAUAACUACUGGAAACGGUAGCUAAUACCGCAUACCAUCAGAUGUUCCCAGAUGGGAUUAGCUAGUGGGUGGGGUAACGGCUCACCAAGGCGACGAUCCCUAGCUGGUCUGAGAGGAUGACCAGCCACACUGGAACUGAGACACGGUCCAGAUUCUUAAGGGAGGCAGCAGUGGGGAAUAUUGGCCGAUGGGCGCAAGCCUGAUACAGCCAUGCCGCGGAUAUGAAGAAUGCCUUCGGGUUGUAAAGUACUUACAGCGGGGAGUCGUUACCCGCAGAAGAAGCACCGGCUAACUCCGUGCCAGCAGCCGCGGUAAUUC